rnacentral:pre_miRNA from 1 species
CAUGCGCCAGUGGGGUCCCUCAGCCUGGCCUGCACCCUCUCACAAUCUGGGGCCCCUCAGGGGAUGUUGGUGAGCUGGUUUUGGCCUGAUCCUGCAGGCCAGGCUGUGGGACCCUACUGGUGCACA